UACGGGGGGGGCAAGCGUUGUUCGGAAUUACUGGGCGUAAAGGGCGCGUAGGCGGUCAGACCAAGUCGAGUGUGAAAUUCCAGGGCUUAACUCUGGCGCGCUCGCUCGAUACUGGUCGGCUAGAGUGUGGAAGAGGAUGCUGGAAUUCCCAGUGUAGCGGUGAAAUGCGUAGAUAUUGGGAGGAACACCAGUGGCGAAGGCGGCUCACUGGACCGGUUCUGACGCUGAGGCGCGAAAGCGUGGGGAGCAAACGGG
rnacentral:rRNA from 1 species